UGCAGUCGAGCGACAGAUAAGGAGCUUGCUCCUUUGACGUUAGCGGCGGACGGGUGAGUAACACGUGGGUAACCUACCUAUAAGACUGGGAUAACUUCGGGAAACCGGAGCUAAUACCGGAUAACAUUUGGAACCGCAUGGUUCUAAAGUGAAAGAUGGUUUUGCUAUCACUUAUAGAUGGACCCGCGCCGUAUUAGCUAGUUGGUAAGGUAACGGCUUACCAAGGCGACGAUACGUAGCCGACCUGAGAGGGUGAUCGGCCACACUGGAACUGAGACACGGUCCAGACUCCUACGGGAGGCAGCAGUAGGGAAUCUUCCGCAAUGGGCGAAAGCCUGACGGAGCAACGCCGCGUGAGUGAUGAAGGGUUUCGGCUCGUAAAACUCUGUUAUUAGGGAAGAACAAACGUGUAAGUAACUGUGCACGUCUUGACGGUACCUAAUCAGAAAGCCACGGCUAACUACGUGCCAGCAGCCGCGGUAAUACGUAGGUGGCAAGCGUUAUCCGGAAUUAUUGGGCGUAAAGCGCGCGUAGGCGGUUUCUUAAGUCUGAUGUGAAAGCCCACGGCUCAACCGUGGAGGGUCAUUGGAAACUGGGAAACUUGAGUGCAGAAGAGGAAAGUGGAAUUCCAUGUGUAGCGGUGAAAUGCGCAGAGAUAUGGAGGAACACCAGUGGCGAAGGCGACUUUCUGGUCUGUAACUGACGCUGAUGUGCGAAAGCGUGGGGAUCAAACAGGAUUAGAUACCCUGGUAGUCCACGCCGUAAACGAUGAGUGCUAAGUGUUA
rnacentral:rRNA from 1 species